rnacentral:rRNA from 1 species
UACGUAGGGUGCAAGCGUUAAUCGGAAUUACUGGGCGUAAAGCGUGCGCAGGCGGUUUUGUAAGACAGUGGGGAAAUCCCCGGGCUCAACCUGGGAACUGCCAUUGUGACUGCAAAGCUAGAGUGCGGCAGAGGGGGAUGGAAUUCCGCGUGUAGCAGUGAAAUGCGUAGAUAUGCGGAGGAACACCGAUGGCGAAGGCAAUCCCCUGGGCCUGCACUGACGCUCAUGCACGAAAGCGUGGGGAGCAAACAGG